GUAGGAACGAUGCCUCACUUUUCCCCUUCAUGUCAAAGAGCAGCAUUGUCUUAUUUAGUACAGGAGUCUCAUGAUCUGAAUAUUACUGAGUAUGUCUAGAUCUUCCUUAAAACACUCACAGCUUGGACCCCUCCCAGGUUCCUGUUUUUCAAAAGCUUCCUUUACUUCCCAAAUAAUUCUCAGAAUUUACCUUCUGGGUAGUUAACCUAGUGGGAGAAUUUAUUUGGUCUUAAUAUUCUCAUUGCUAAAUGCAAUACAUCUGAUGCUUAAUCACAGAUAUUGUCAGUACCUCUGGCCAGUCGCUGCAGUAAAUCUGAGAAAACUGGGGCCAUGAAAAAAGACACACAUGCUAGAGAACACUUCAUCAGGUGAUUUGGGAAGUGAAGACUGCCACGAUCAUUUCUCACUUUUCAGUCAGACAGCUUUAAAUCGACUGUGCUUUCAUGGCUGGCUGGGAAUCUUUUCACAUUGCUAGUGAGCUUUGCCAAGUACCACGGACAGAUCACAGCAUACGUGGAGAUCCUGACCCACAAUUCUGAUUGAGAAAAUAGUAAAUUAUGGGCCGGCCCAGUGGCAUAGUAAGGGUAAGUUCACCUGCUCCACUUUACCAACACAGGGUUGGAGGGUUUGGAUCCUGGGUUUGAACCUACACACCACUCAUCAAACCAUGCUGUGGCAGUGUCCCACAUACAAAAAGUAGAGGAAGAUUGGCACAGAUGUUAGCUGAGGACCAAUCUUCCUCACAAAAAAGAAAGAAAGAAAGAAAAUAGUAAAUUAGAUACACAGGAAAUUUGGAACGCAAACAUCCAAAGAAUUACACCAUUCAACUGUCAACGGAAAGAAACUGAUUUUUCAUCCUGGCCCUGCUAGUGAGAUAGAAUUAGAAGAACUGGUGGUCCCUAUUUACUCACGAACCAAAUAGCUUCGAAAACCAAGUUAAUUUGGCCCUGAACUUGUUUAAAAGGUCUUGCCUUUUCUACUUGUGUAGCACUCAUCCUGUUUCCUGUUCCUUUUUACAUCUUAACUGACUUUCACUAAAAGGGGAUCCUGGUUGCCUAAUUAAAGCUUUCUAUUAUCUCCAGGUUUUUCUCAGCAUUUAACAUCUGGCCUAAAAAGAUUUAUCUUUUUCCUGUCUUUGACUUUAAACUCUAUGGUUAAAUACUCAACAGGAAAGAAAAUUACAGAAAUGGGGACUACUUUCCUUUAAAAUGCCAGAUAAAAGAUGUAUUGUAUUGAAGCACUAGGUAAAGAAAAUGUCUUUUUCACUGGCCAAAUAAAGCUAUUAUGUAAAGCUCA
rnacentral:lncRNA from 1 species